rnacentral:rRNA from 1 species
CAUUAACGAAUUUAUAAUCCGGCGAGGGGAAGGACGAGAGUUGUCGCUGGCCUUUCGCGAGGCAUGUGCACGCUUUCUUCUGGACUUUCGCCGUAUGGGCGCGGGGCCACCCGCGUCUUCAUGCACCUCUUCGUGUAGAAAGUCUUUGAAUGUUAUACCAUCAUCGAGUCGCGACUUCUAGGAGACGCGAUUCUUUGAGACAAAAGUUAUUACAACUUUCAGCAACGGAUCUCUUGGCUCUCGCAUCGAUGAAGAACGCAGCGAAUCGCGAUAUGUAAUGUGAAUUGCAGAUCUACAGUGAAUCAUCGAAUCUUUGAACGCACCUUGCGCUCCUCGGUGUUCCGAGGAGCAUGCCUGUUCGAGUGUCAGUAAAUUCUCAACUCCUCUCGAUUUGUUUCGAGCGGACGUUUGGAUAGUGGGGGCUGCCGGAGACCUGGAUUUAUUUCAGGACUCGGGCUCUCCUGAAAUGCAUCGGCUUGCGGUCGACUUUCGACUUUGCANGACAAGGCCUUCGGC